GGCGGAAUUGGUAAACGCACUAGACUGAAAAUCUAGCGAAACGGGCACUUUUAUGCCUCUUUUAUUUGCACAGGUUCGAAUCCUGUCGAGACCACCA
rnacentral:tRNA from 1 species